CGUGGAUUCAAUUUGGGGCCACGGCCGGGAAUGUGGAUUGACGAGUUUCCUCGUGAUACACAGUAUGUCCACCUGAAAAGCAUGUUCACCAUGUCAUGGGCUACAAACUAGUACUGUCAAAAUAGGCCGGCCCGAUCCGGUCCAUAAGGGCUUAAAAUUUGAUAGGCCGGCUGCUCGGCAUCCUGCUGCUCGGUGGAGGC
rnacentral:lncRNA from 1 species